rnacentral:rRNA from 1 species
UGAGGAACAUGACCUUCGGCGGGGGAUAGCCGGGCCCAACGGCCGGGUAAUACCGCGUACGACCAC